UACGUAGGGUGCAAGCGUUGUCCGGAAUUAUUGGGCGUAAAGAGCUCGUAGGCGGUCUGUCGCGUCUGCUGUGAAAAACCUAGGGCUUAACUCUGGGCGUGCAGUGGGUACGGGCAGGCUAGAGUGCGGUAGGGGAGACUGGAAUUCCUGGUGUAGCGGUGAAAUGCGCAGAUAUCAGGAGGAACACCGGUGGCGAAGGCGGGUCUCUGGGCCGAUACUGACGCUGAGGAGCGAAAGCGUGGGGAGCGAACAGG
rnacentral:rRNA from 1 species